AACAAACGCUGGCGGCGUGCCUAAUACAUGCAAGUCGAACGGUGUAGCAAUACCUAGUGGCGCACGGGUGAGUAACGCGUGGAUAAUCUGCCUUAGAGUGGGGGAUAACUAGUCGAAAGAUUAGCUAAUACCGCAUAAGACCACAAGAGCUGCGGCUCAAGGGGUCAAAGGUUUUUCGCUCUAAGAUGAGUCCUCGUAAGAUUCGCUAGUAGGUGAGGUAAUGGCUCACCAAGGCGACGGUCUUUAACUGCUCUGAGAGGAUGAUCAGUCACACUGGAACUGAGACACGGUCCAGACUCAUCCGGGAGGCAGCAGUAGAACAUACUGCACAAAGGAGGAGACUCUGCUGCAGCGACGCCGCGUGAGUGAUGAAGACUUUCGGGGCGUAAAGCUAUGUCGCAGGGAAAUAACACAAUGAAUGUACCCUGUAAGAAAGGAUCGGCUAACUUCGUG
rnacentral:rRNA from 1 species